GCACAUGGCAUCUGUGAAAAUCCCAUAUCAGAUGCACUCAAAUCAUGGGGAGAGAGAAAAACUGCCAAGAGUGCAAUGACUUGGUGAGCUCCUGGAGAAGACUUUUGCAGUGAGCAGGACUGUCCCUGAAGCAAAAGGAAGCUGGGAGAGCUUGGCUCUUCCCAAAGAAGAAAACUUUGAUCCGUCUCCUUGGCUGGACUGCAGAACAGCAUUGCACCAUCAUUUCUGAUGGCUCAUGAACUCUGUGAGCACACCUUCUCAUCCUGGCCGUGGUACCCCUGUGCUGUGGUGAUGUGCUGUUGCACUUCUGCCUGCCUGAAGGAUGUACACUACCCCCAGGUAAAGGAGCUGAAGAGAAAACCAUAAAAUCCAAGGAAUCGUGUGGAUGGACGUUUAACCUCAGGGGUUAAUACAGUUAUCUGGUACAGCUCUCUCUGUAAUUCUUUCAUUUAUACUGCAUUAAGGGUGUAAUGAAAUUUGAAAUAGCACCUCUGUACCUUUGACAGGCACAAUGAGCCAUGGAUCAUUUCUGAAAACUUAAUAUGCCUGGGAAAAUAAA